rnacentral:rRNA from 1 species
CCUACGGGUGGCAGCAGUAGGGAAUCUUCCGCAAUGGACGAAAGUCUGACGGAGCAACGCCGCGUGAGCGAUGAAGGCCUUCGGGUCGUAAAGCUCUGUUGUUAGGGAAGAACAAGUACCGGAGUAACUGCCGGUACCUUGACGGUACCUAACCAGAAAGCCACGGCUAACUACGUGCCAGCAGCCGCGGUAAUACGUAGGUGGCAAGCGUUGUCCGGAAUUAUUGGGCGUAAAGCGCGCGCAGGCGGUCCUUUAAGUCUGAUGUGAAAGCCCACGGCUCAACCGUGGAGGGUCAUUGGAAACUGGGGGACUUGAGUACAGAAGAGGAAAGCGGAAUUCCACGUGUAGCGGUGAAAUGCGUAGAGAUGUGGAGGAACACCAGUGGCGAAGGCGGCUUUCUGGUCUGUAACUGACGCUGAGGCGCGAAAGCGUGGGGAGCA